rnacentral:rRNA from 1 species
CGUGCAGGCGGUUUCGUAAGUCAGACGUGAAAGCUCCUGGCUUAACUGGGAGAGGCCGUUCGAUACUGCGGGACUUGAGGUUGGGAGAGGGACGUGGAAUUCCCGGUGUAGUGGUGGAAUGCGUAGAUAUCGGGAGGAACACCAGUGGCGAAGGCGGCGUCCUGGCCCACACCUGACGCUGAGACGCGAAAGCGUGGGUAGCGAACG